UACAGAGGGUGCAAGCGUUGUUCGGAAUUAUUGGGCGUAAAGGGUGCGUAGGCGGUGCGGUAAGUCUGUAGUGAAAUCUCUGGGCUCAACUCAGAGUCUGCUAUAGAAACUGCCGUGCUUGAGUGUGGGAGAGGUGAGUGGAAUUCCCGGUGUAGCGGUGAAAUGCGCAGAUAUCAGGAAGAACACCCGUGGCUAAGGCGGCUCUCUAGUACGGUACUGACGCUGAGACGCGAAAGCGUGGGGGAGCGAACAGG
rnacentral:rRNA from 1 species